UACGUAGGGUGCGAGCGUUGUCCGGAAUUACUGGGCGUAAAGAGCUCGUAGGUGGUUUGUCGCGUUGUUCGUGAAAACUCACAACUCAAUUGUGGGCGUGCGGGCGAUACGGGCAGACUGGAGUACUGCAGGGGAGACUGGAAUUCCUGGUGUAGCAGUGAAAUGCGUAGAUAUCAGGAGGAAUACCGAUGGCGAAGGCAGGUCUCUGGGCUGACACUGACGCUCAUGCACGAAGGCGUGGGGAGCAAACAGG
rnacentral:rRNA from 1 species